CAACAGUAACCAAAUAAUCAUCGUCAUCAUCAAUUUCUUGCACAUCAUCGAGCGCUAGAUAACCUAUAAAAACUCCAUUUUCAAUGAUAAAAACGCAAGAAACAGGAAUCCCAUUGCCCAUACUCGAUUAUUUAUUCUCUUUCUUCCAUUAGUUUAAGCACUCGCUUUGUCUUCAAGCCUACUUUAGCUGCUAUUACAAGC
rnacentral:misc_RNA from 1 species